rnacentral:rRNA from 1 species
AGUGAACGCUGGCGGCGUGCUUAACACAUGCAAGUCGAACGAGAACGGAAUAUAGCUUGCUAUAUUUGUCAGCUAAGUGGCGCACGGGUGAGUAAUGUAUAGAUAACCUGCCCUUAAGAAAGGAAUAACAGUUGGAAACGACUGCUAAUGCCCUAUAUGCCUUUAAUACAAAAGUAUGCAAGGGAAACGCUUUAGUGCUUAAGGAUGGGUCUGUAUGGUAUCAGCUUGUUGGUGAGGUAAUGGCUCACCAAGGCUAUGACGCCUAACUGGUUUGAGAGGAUGAUCAGUCACACUGGAACUGGGACACGGUCCAGACUCCUACGGGAGGCAGCAGUGGGGAAUAUUGCACAAUGGACGAAAGUCUGAUGCAGCAACGCCGCGUGGAGGAUGACACAUUUCGGUGCGUAAACUCCUUUUAUAUAGGAAGAUAAUGACGGUACUAUAUGAAUAGGCACCGGCUAACUCCGUGCCAGCCGCCGCGGUAA